GGUUGUCAUCGCCAAAUCCCUUUGGCUCCUUCUUCCAAGUCCACCUUCACCACUGAGGAUAAUGGCCUGAUGUUACCAGAUUUGCAAUAGAGAAAGAAGCGGCCUGUGGAUCUCUUGUCAAAUCCCCUCCUGCUUCCGCCCUUCUUUCCCCAUCUAAGAUGACACACUCUGGUGCCUGGCUCUCAUCGUCUCCUCGGCUUGAUGCAAUGAAGGGUGGCUCCGAGCCCAUGAACCCGGCCCGAGGCCCCACGAGCCACCCCCUACCGCACAGGUGUGCCGGGCGGAGCGACAUUUCUGGACGGCGGCUCUGACGGGAGCUUUCUACACAUCGGGUCAAGGAGGUCACCGGCCAAGAGACCGGAUCCUGGGAGGAGGAGUCUGAGCCCCUCUUGAAAGCUAGGGCCUGAAAAUACACUGGAGCCGAUGUUCGUCUCGGUCCAGGUUGGUCUCGGUCUGGUCUCCCCAGGCCCCUUGAUCAACGCCUCAAGAUGGGGGCCAACUUGGGAAGCAGCCAACCGAACCGCGGCCGCUCCGAUGCUUCGUCUGUGCCACCCCUGAGAUUACUCCACUGGCCCUCCCCCUAGCCUGAUAUCUCCGUCCAUUCUAGCGGGUCUCCCGGCGGUGGGGGGCCUAGUUGCGAUCGGUCGGCAAAGUCCCGUUCAUCCGAUCCAGCCACCUACCUCUCUUGGGCAGGAGUCGUGGACUGCCCACGUACCAGUGUGCAAUUUGCCAGUAAAGCCUAGCCCAAGGUACUACUCUGGCCGAUGGCAUGACCCAAGGUGUGAAUUCAGGUCCCGCCACUUCUCCCUCUGCCUCAGCUUGGUUGGACACGGAACGGAGACCCUGAUGUGCUUCAAAUGCGGUCCAUCCUAGGUCAUGAGAGAAUCUAAAGUUUGGGAGCCGGUCCAUCUUCCAAGGCCAGAGCUGUGCUGGGCAAUAACUUGCUUCUGGGUCUUGGGAGUCAUCUGUGUGGAGGUGCGGGCUUAACGGCUGAAGCCCACCGUUCUCUGGCAUUGGGAAAAGCACUGGGUCAUUGGCCACUAAAGCAUGUUUGCCAGUC